rnacentral:rRNA from 1 species
UGGGGAAUUUUGGACAAUGGGCGAAAGCCUGAUCCAGCAAUGCCGCGUGUGUGAAGAAGGCCUUCGGGUUGUAAACACUUUUGUCCGGAAAGAAAUCCUUGGCUCUAAUACAGUCGGGGGAUGACGGUACCGGAAGAAUAAGCACCGGCUAACUACGUGCCAGCAGCCGCGGUAAUACGUAGGGUGCAAGCGUUAAUCGGAAUUACUGGGCGUAAAGCGUGCGCAGGCGGUUUGCUAAGACCGAUGUGAAAUCCCCGGGCUCAACCUGGGAACUGCAUUGGUGACUGGCAGGCUAGAGUAUGGCAGAGGGGGGUAGAAUUCCACGUGUAGCAGUGAAAUGCGUAGAGAUGUGGAGGAAUACCGAUGGCGAAGGCAGCCCCCUGGGCCAAUACUGACGCUCAUGCACGAAAGCGUGGGGAGCAAACAGGAUUAGAUACCCUGGUAGUCCACGCCCUAAAACGAUGUCAACUAGUUGUUGGGGAUUCAUUUCCUUAGUAACGUAGCUAACGCGUGAAGUUGACCGCCUGGGGAGUACGGUCGCAAGAUUAAAACUCAAAUGAAUUGACGGGGUCAUAGCUGUUUCCU